UGUGGUAUAUGCUAACCUAAUGAGACUGAAGUGCAACUGGCCCCAAGAUAGUCUGAGUUCUGCGCAAUGAACUAACCAUUCAAGUUGUCCAAAACGCUUUAUUUACGUUUUGCAAAGAUAUGGAUGAGUCAACGUCAUUGGAUAUCGAGGCCCUGAAGGUAAGGACCUUGUUUCCGGGUACCACUAAAGGCCACAGUCUUCAGCCAGGCAGCUUGAAGAUGUCACCAUUCCUUCAAACCGCACACACGGAGACAUAGAAAUGGUAUCCACCAGUUCAUCUGACUCUGUGAAAGUA
rnacentral:lncRNA from 1 species